AGAGAUUACUGACGUGGUGGAUUACAGCAUGUUACGGCCCACGCAGGCAACAAUUCUCAGAGCGUUGAUCACUGAUUGAGCGUUUAUCAGGCUGUGACUCAGGAUUGAUUUAGUCCACUGGAGCACAGCUGUGGCACAAAGGCCAUGAUGGGAAAUUAACUCUGCUCAAAUUAACUUGACAACGUCACCAAUUAAACGUCUCAUGUGAGUCGCUUUAAGACAUCAACAAACAACAAACUUGCUCACAGAGCGCUUUUGUUCCUAAAUGAGAAGCUCAAAAGCGUACUUAUUUUUAAUAUGUGACACCGAACUGCAUUCCAUUGAAUUAGGUCUAUAUAAAAAAUCUGAGCAUUUUAAUCAUUUAUAUUUAUGAUGAACCUGAGGACUGUGAGAGAUUUAAAGUGAAACAUGGACUGUCUCCUCCUGUUGAUCUCCAUCUGGUCCACAACGCUCCCUUUGAGCCGGUCGGAGAAGUCCUGCAGUGAGCGGUUGUGGAAGCUUUCACGUGUUCCGAGGGGUUUGGGAUACAUGAGGGAGUCUGGCUAGGAGGCUGAGAUCAGUGACAUCGGAGAUCCCUCCAUGGAGAACCAGCACCUUCUGGUCGAUCACUGUUGCUAAUGGCAACCAACUGAAAAUCUUCUGCAGCAGCUUCAGGAUCCGUUUGCCGUGC